GUAGCAUGUAUCAGUAAUCAUUCCUUUUUGUGGCUGAAUGAUCCAUCGUACGAAUAGAUCGUAUUUUGUUAUAGUGAUGGACUUUUGGGUUGUUUCCACUUUUAGAAUACUGUGACUUCAUGCUGCUGUGAACACUCAUGUACAAGUUUUUGUGUGGACACAUGUUUUCAUUUCUCUUGGGUAUUUACCCAGAAGUAGAGUUCCUGGGUAACUAACUUUCUGAGGAACUGCCAGAUAGUUUUCUUCUGCCGCAUAUGAGGGUUCCAAUUCUUCCGCUUCCUCAUCAACGCUUGUUACGAUGUGUCUUUUUUAUUACAGGCAUGUUGGUGGGUGUGAGAUGGGAUCCACGGCAUAGCAAGGGCUCUCUCUAGAGUAAUCUUUUCACCAGUCCUCUUUUCCACUAUCCACCCUCUUUAUAUUUCUUUGGCUUGGCUGAGGGUGCUCUGAGUUAUGCACCUCGUUCUUGAACAUUUCCCUGGUAAAUUCUGUGUAUAAGAUCUGACUUUGAAAUUUCACCUCUAUUGUAUGUCGAUGACUUUGAAACCUCCAUUUUAAUAUCUUGGUAGGUGCACAGUGCCAACAUAUGACAGGCACUUUAUAAUAAUCUCUUUUCUUCCCUCAGUUUUCCACCAGCCACUGAAAAGCACCGUUAGCCAGACAGAGGACAGCUCCCCAGGGCCCACACUCUCACCUGCCUUGCUUCCGUUCAGGAGAAGGGACAUCUGGAAAGGCUGUGUCAAGGCCUUGCCACAGGCAGGAUGGGUGUCUCUGGCCUAUCUAAUAACAGAUGUGCUUGUGGUGACAGAAUAAAAUAGAAUAGCAGUCAGGACUUUGUUCAGGCUCUGCCACUAACUCACCAUGGGACCUGAAAAAGCGACUUUCCCCCUCUGUGCUUCUGUUGUCAUAUUUACAAAACAUUCUGGGAGGGUUGGAUCUGAUGAGUAAUACAAUUUUAGCUCUAGAAUAGGAUCUAUUGUACUUAGAGUUCAAAAGAAAUGAAGAUAAACUUGCCCCUUGCUUCUGGGGAGUGGCUGGGCUUAUAAGAAAGGCUGGACACAAAUUUGGUGCAGGAGUGAGGUUUUGGGGACAGGGCUGCAGAUACAAGGACAGAGAAGGGGUAGGGAUGGAAUGACCAGAGCACAGCUUCCAGGGCUCCUGGGGCUUAGCCCUGUCCCUGUGGGGGCCAUUGUGUCACUCAGGGCCUCAGAGGGUGAGAAUGGGAAGGAAUAUUCCACACAUGGGUGGGAUGUAGGAGAAGGAAGGUGGCCUAGACUUGGGCCUGUUGGGGAUAGUGACCACACUCCUUCUUCUUUGUCUGUUUUCUGGGUCUCAGCUCUGCAAAGGAGGAGCAUGUGUGGGGAUCAGAAAAGCGGGGAGCAGGGCUGGGCCAGGCUGGGGCUGGGCCAGGCUGAGGCUGGAGAAGGGGCUGAACAAGGGCUGUGUUCCUUCCCUGACAACUUCCAGCCCCACCUGGGCUCCACCAGGCACAUGAAGGCUGCCCGCCCCACUGAGGAGCCGCUUUCCCAACCUGGAAGUGAUUUUCAAUGUUUCCUCACUGGGCAGUGCCAUUCAGCUACUGGUAGGUAAGGUGCAGGAACCAUGGGGCGUUCGUGUGUGGGUGCCUGUAUGUGUGUGCAUGUGUAUUCGUGUGUGUGCGUGUGUGUACAUUCAUGUGUGUGCCUGUGCGUGUGUGUACAUGUGCGCAUGUGUGUUCGUGUGUGUGCACAUUUAUGGACAUGUAUGUGUGUGUGCAUGUGUGUGCAUGUUCAAGUGUGUGUGUGUGUGUGUGUGUGUGUGUGUUUUGCUUCCACCCUUCCUCCCAGUCUUAUUCAUCCUAAGCCUCAUCCUAUUGCCCUCUGGGAGAUGUCCUGAUGGCCUCAGAAUGCCCCUCCUUUAUGUCCUCAGCACUCCCUGAAGCUUAAAUGACACAUUUCUGACUCAUCACACUCAAAGCUAUGCGGUGUCUGCUCAGCUGCUCAGGAGGGAUCUUGAGGCCCAAACUGUAUCCAGAUAGGUGAGAGGGGUCACAAACGGCCCGCAGGCUGGAGACUGAGAUGAAACUAACGUUUCUCGUAUCACUGCUGUGUGCUGGCUGUUGCGCAGGUUGCUUCUCAUCUUUCGUCUCAUUUAAUCCCUGCGGCAAUUUCAUAGAAAGAUAUAAUUCAUACCAUUUCUCCAGGAGGAGAAAUUGGGCUCAGAGAGAGCUGAGGAUUUUUCCCGAGGUCUUGCAGCAGGGCAGGGGCUGAGCUCAGAUGUGUCUCUAAAGCUUGGGUGUUUCUCCUAUGCCUCACUGGUCCAAAAGUCUAUCCCAGAUGAGCACAGAAGCCCAUAUCUCCAGUUGGGUUCUUCCAGAAGCUGACCCUGCCAUAUAUAUCAUUUAUAUUCACAUAUGAUAUAUUACUGGAAUGCCCCCUUGAGAAUCUGGCAAGACAGCGGGUAAAGCAGGAUAAGAAAGAGGAAGAAGCCAAGCAAGGGGAGAUUGCAGGUGAGGUCCCAACCUCAGCCUGACUCCACAGGGAUGGCUGGAAGGUAAAUCACACCUCGGGAUUGGUCCUGCUUCAAGCUACCGUUGCUGAUCUUUUUACUCUCCUACUGGUUCCUGCCUACAGGUUGCCUGGAAGUGAUUGGAGGGGAAGGAAUGCCAAUUCUCAGACAUUUCCAGCUCUCCUUACAGGCGAGGCAGCUGGCUCCAAUAGCCCAAGGGAAACUGCUGGAAAAGAGAGGAGCAUGCCCCUCCUGGAGCUUUCUUCCUUCCCGCUGGCCGGAAUGCAGUUGUGAUCAUUUGAGUUUCAGCAGCCACCUUGGGCCAUUUGGAGGAAGGCAUCUGCUGUGCAUGGCAGAGUCACGUGAAAGAAGGAAGCUGAUUCAUUAUCACCAGGUCACCGUGUCAGCCCUGGACUGCCUACUUCUGAACUUUUUACUUGAGGGAUUAAAGUAACCCUGGGUGUUUAA